GUAGGAUUUCGGUGUGUCGAUGGCUUUGUUUGAGUCUUUGGUUAAGAUAAGAAGUUGUCGCCUAAUGUUUUUCUCCCAACCUGUUCUUUUCGUUGUAUUUUGCGAACUGAACUUUUUAAGGAACGGCUAUCUGGUG
rfam:Thiovulum sp. ES ThvES_contig00044.44, whole genome shotgun sequence.